rnacentral:lncRNA from 1 species
AGCUACCCGAGUUUCUUAUAUCAGACGAUAGUGAAUUCCAUAUUAUAGGGCCACGAUAAAGUAUAGUAAAUUUUUUUAGAUUAGUACGACAAGCGUGAGGCCGAUAAUUAUUUGCUGAUCUGGUAUUGUAACUAUGUAUCUGACUGUUACAUUGGAACAGAUCAUGGAAUACAGGUGGUAAAAUUUCAUUAUGUUUAAAAUGCCUAAUUUCAUAAAUAGAGGUGCUGUAUGCGCACGGAAAUCAGAAUUUGUAAUAGCACGCACAGCACGUUUAUGUAGGUAAUAUAUUCUAUUUAAAUUUGUAACAUAGGUGGACGACCAUACCAUGUUGCAAUAUGUAAAGAAGGGAUAAACCAGUGUGUAAUACAAUGACAAUUUAGUUUUACAAGAUAAAUAAAAACGAGACUUACGUUUAAUACCAAUGGAUUUUGAAAUUUUUUUAUAAACACGAUUAAUGUGACCUUUCCAGGUGAGGUUUUGGUCAAUAUACACACCUAAAAACUUAAUAGAGUUAACUUGGUGUAAUAUCUCAUUU